GCAUAACUCUGGAGAAGACAGAGACAGCCUGUAUCCAGGGACAGCCACAUCCUUAGCCUCCUCAGGGCCAGCAGUUCCUUGAGAGACUGUGGAGCAACCCUGGUAGGACAUGUGGACAAAUGAGAUUCAGACUCCUCACAGACCCAGUUUCUUCAGCACCUUGUCUCCAGAUGCCUUGUUGUGCUUUCCAGAAGCCACUUGGGUCAGCACCAGAGUUCCAACAAGCUCUGCCAGUGUAAAGAUUCUCCACAGCCCAGCCUCUGAACAGCAAGACGACAUGCACACCAUGAAACACCCACAACUGCUUGGCUUGGAGUGA
rnacentral:lncRNA from 1 species